rnacentral:rRNA from 1 species
AUGGUUAUCGGAAUUGAUGGAUCUGAACAUUUUCUAUGUGACGUUGCUUGGUUACUGUGUGACUACAUUUUUUGUUCAAGCAUGGCUGUUGACCAGUUUUGCAAGGAUGCUAAUGUCCAAGAAAAGGGUUGUUAUGCUAAAUGCAACAGUACAGUGCUUCAUAUGAUAACUAUAGAUCUGAUGCAGUGGAAGGAUUAUUUGAUGUUCAUUAAUUCUAUCUUCUUGCUGGUUGGGAUACCUUUUGCACUGAAGAUGGUGAGCGGUAAAGAUAAAUUCAGUUUUGCAUUGGUGCCAUGGGAAAUUGUCUGGACAUUUGGUCUUGCGUCAGCGAAGUAUUGCUUCCCAUCUUCUGCUGUCACAUUUACUGCACCUUGUCGACACACUGUUGAGUUCAUUUACAUUGGUGCCCGCUAUGAUCUGAAUGCCUACAUUGCAGUUCCUAAAUUUUUGCUCGCGGUACUGAUCAGCAGUGACACAAGUUUUGCAUUGGAUUAUGGUGAAGUUCAAGCAGCCUUGCUGGCUAAUUGUGUUGCUGUCAGAUCGUUCGGUGUUGCCACAGUCAAUGAGUUCAUACAUGUUCCCGCAGAUAAACUGAAUCAGUGCAUCGUCCAAAUGUUACAGUUGCAAUGGGACCCAGGUGAUUGCUUUGUUUCAGUUUGGCCACAUGAAAAACAUGCAAGCACACAUGAUGUCUGCCAGGGGCCUGGUAUUUCUACACUUCAGACGACAUGGGAUCCGGGAGGUUCAACACAAUAUCAGUUUGUGCACAAGGCUGAAGAUUGGAUUUAG